rnacentral:ncRNA from 1 species
GUGUAAGGUUUUAGGUAAAGUGUAAGAAACUUUAUUAAGCCCUAAGUGAAAGAAAACCUUUUGCUAUAAAUCAUCAAAUUGACGGGAAAGCCCUAAAGCUAUUUCAACCAAGCAAGUAUGGUAACAUCAUUGUGGCACAGGUAAUGACUCGUGGUAUGGUAAAAUCGAAAUGGAUGCACGAAAGGAAAUGGGUAAUCCGCAGCCAAGCAGCAUAAUUAUUAUGGUGUGCAGUUCAUCGACUAAACGGUGGUUGGUGUUAUUAUUAUUAAUAAUGCUUAAGAUAUAGUCAGACCCUACUUGAAAAAGUACA